UACGUAGGGCGCAAGCGUUGUCCGGAAUUACUGGGCGUAAAGGGCUCGUAGGCGGCCAACUAAGUCAGACGUGAAAUCCCCAGGCUCAACCUGGGAACUGCGUCUGAUACUGGUUGGCUUGAAUCCGGGAGAGGGAUGCAGAAUUCCAGGUGUAGCGGUGAAAUGCGUAGAUAUCUGGAGGAAUACCGGUGGCGAAGGCGGCAUCCUGGACCGGCAUUGACGCUGAGGAGCGAAAGCUAGGGGAGCAAACGGG
rnacentral:rRNA from 1 species